rnacentral:rRNA from 1 species
AACGAACGCUGGCGGCAGGCUUAACACAUGCAAGUCGAGCGCCCCGCAAGGGGAGCGGCAGACGGGUGAGUAACACGUGGGGAUCUGCCCAAUGGUACGGAAUAGCUCCGGGAAACUGGAAUUAAUACCGUAUGUGCCCGCAAGGGGAAAGAUUUAUCGCCAUCGGAUGAACCCGCGUCGGAUUAGCUAGUUGGUGUGGUAAAGGCGCACCAAGGCGACGAUCCGUAGCUGGUCUGAGAGGACGAUCAGCCACACUGGGACUGAGACACGGCCCAGACUCCUACGGGAGGCAGCAGUGGGGAAUAUUGGACAAUGGGCGCAAGCCUGAUCCAGCCAUGCCGCGUGAGUGAUGAAGGCCUUAGGGUUGUAAAGCUCUUUCGCCGACGAAGAUAAUGACGGUAGUCGGAGAAGAAGCCCCGGCUAACUUCGUGCCAGCAGCCGCCGUAACAC